rnacentral:rRNA from 1 species
UGAACGGCCACAUUGGGACUGAGACACGGCCCAGACUCCUACGGGAGGCAGCAGUGGGGAAUAUUGCACAAUGGGGGAAACCCUGAUGCAGCGACGCCGCGUGGAGGAAGAAGGUCUUCGGAUUGUAAACUCCUGUUGUUGAGGAAGAUAAUGACGGUACUCAACAAGGAAGUGACGGCUAACUACGUGCCAGCAGCCGCGGUAAAACGUAGGUCACAAGCGUUGUCCGGAAUUACUGGGUGUAAAGGGAGCGCAGGCGGGAAGACAAGUUGGAAGUGAAAUCUAUGGGCUCAACCCAUAAACUGCUUUCAAAACUGUUUUUCUUGAGUAGUGCAGAGGUAGGCGGAAUUCCCGGUGUAGCGGUGGAAUGCGUAGAUAUCGGGAGGAACACCAGUGGCGAAGGCGGCCUACUGGGCACCAACUGACGCUGAGGCUCGAAAGUGUGGGUAGCAAACAGGAUUAGAUACCCUGGUAGUCCACACCGUAAACGAUGAUUACUAGGUGUUGGAGGAUUGACCCCUUCAGUGCCGCAGUUAACACAAUAAGUAAUCCACCUGGGGAGUACGACCGCAAGGUUGAAACUCAAAGGAAUUGACGGGGGCCCGCACAAGCAGUGGAGUAUGUGGUUUAAUUCGACGCAACGCGAAGAACCUUACCAAGUCUUGACAUCCCUUGACGAACAUAGAAAUAUGUUUUCUCUUCGGAGCAAGGAGACAGGUGGUGCAUGGUUGUCGUCAGCUCGUGUCGUGAGAUGUUGGGUUAAGUCCCGCAACGAGCGCAACCCUUAU